rnacentral:rRNA from 1 species
UUUAUGGAGAGUUUGAUCCUGGCUCAGGAUGAACGCUGGCGGCGUGCCUAAUACAUGCAAGUCGAGCGAACGGACGAGAAGCUUGCUUCUCUGAUGUUAGCGGCGGACGGGUGAGUAACACGUGGAUAACCUACCUAUAAGACUGGGAUAACUUCGGGAAACCGGAGCUAAUACCGGAUAAUAUUUUAAACCGCAUGGUUCAAAAGUGAAAGACGGUCUUGCUGUCACUUAUAGAUGGAUCCGCGCUGCAUUAGCUAGUUGGUAAGGUAACGGCUUACCAAGGCAACGAUGCAUAGCCGACCUGAGAGGGUGAUCGGCCACACUGGAACUGAGACACGGUCCAGAC